CCCCAGACCUGCAUUCGAUACGGGCGAGCUAGAGUGUGGUAGGGGAGACUGGAGUUCCUGGUGUAGCGGUGGAAUGCGCAGAUAUCAGGAGGAACACCAAUGGCGAAGGCAGGUNUCUGGGCCAUUACUGACACUGAGGAGCGAAAGCGUGGGGAGCGAACAGGAUUAGAUACCCUGGUAGUCCACGCCGUAAACGGUGGGCACUAGUUGUGGGAACCUUCCACGGUUUCUGCGACGCAGCUAACGCAUUAAGUGCCCCGCCUGGGGAGUACGAUCGCAAGAUUAAAACUCAAAGGAAUUGACGGGGCCCCGCACAAGCAGCGGAGCAUGCGGCUUAAUUCGACGCAACGCGAAGAACCUUACCAAGGCUUGACAUAUACAGGAAUAUGGCAGAAAUUCCAUAGCCGCAAGGUCUGUAUACAGGUGGUGCAUGGUUGUCGUCAGCUCGUGUCGUGAGAUGUUGGGUUAAGUCCCGCAACGAGCGCAACCCUCGUUCUGUGUUGCCAGCAUUUAGUUGGGGACUCACAGGAGACUGCCGGGGUUAACUCGGAGGAAGGUGGGGAUGACGUCAAAUCAUCAUGCCCCUUAUGUCUUGGGCUGCACGCAUGCUACAAUGGCUGGUACAAACGGCUGCGAUACCGCAAGGUGGAGCGAAUCCGAUAAAGCCAGUCUCAGUUCGGAUUGGGGUCUGCAACUCGACCCCAUGAAGUCGGAGUUGCUAGUAAUCGUAGAUCAGCAACGCUACGGUGAAUACGUUCCCGGGGCUUGUACACACCGCCCGUCACGUCACGAAAGUCGGUAACACCCGAAGUCAGUGGCCCAACCGUAAGGGGGGAGCUGCCGAAGGUGGGAUCGGUGAUUGGGACGAAGUCGUAACAAGGUAGCCGUA
rnacentral:rRNA from 1 species